rnacentral:rRNA from 1 species
AUUGAACGCUGGCGGCAGGCCUAACACAUGCAAGUCGAACGGUAGCACAGAGAGCUUGCUCUCGGGUGACGAGUGGCGGACGGGUGAGUAACGUCUGGGAAACUGCCCGAUGGAGGGGGAUAACUACUGGAAACGGUAGCUAAUACCGCAUAACGUCGCAAGACCAAAGUGGGGGACCUUCGGGCCUCACACCCUCGGAGGUGCCCAGAUGGGAUUAGCUAGUAGGUGGGGUAAUGGCUCACCUAGGCGACGAUCCCUAGCUGGUCUGAGAGGAUGACCAGCCACACUGGAAAUGAGACACGGUCCAGACUCCUACGGGAGGCAGCAGUGGGGAAUAUUGCACAAUGGGCGCAAGCCUGAUGCAGCCAUGCCGCGUGUAUGAAGAAGGCCUUCGGGUUGUAAAGUACUUUCAGCGGGGAGGAAGGCGGUGAAGUUAAUAACUUCACCGAUUGACGUUACCCGCAGAAGAAGCACCGGCUAACUCCGUGCCAGCCGCCGCAGUAA